UACGAAGGGGGCUAGCGUUGCUCGGAAUCACUGGGCGUAAAGCGCACGUAGGCGGCUUACUAAGUCAGGGGUGAAAUCCUGGAGCUCAACUCCAGAACUGCCUUUGAUACUGGUAAGCUCGAGUCCGGGAGAGGUGAGUGGAACUGCGAGUGUAGAGGUGAAAUUCGUAGAUAUUCGCAAGAACACCAGUGGCGAAGGCGGCUCACUGGCCCAUUACUGACGCUGAGGCACGAAAGCGUGGGGAGCAAACAGG
rnacentral:rRNA from 1 species